rnacentral:rRNA from 1 species
CCCUUAGAUGUUCUGGGCUGCACGCGCGCUACACUGAAGCGUUCAACGAGUAUUUCACCUUGCCCGGGAGGGUUGGGUAAUCUUUUUAAAACGCUUCGUGAUGGGGAUAGAUUAUUGCAAUUAUUAAUCUUCAACGAGGAAUUCCUAGUAAGCGCGAGUCAUCAGCUUGCAUUGAUUACGUCCCUGCCCUUUGUACACACCGCCCGUCGCACCUACCGAUUGAAUGGUCCGGUGAAAUCUCGGGACGGCGGCUUGGUCGCUUGCGUCCGACUGCUGAAACUUGAUUAAACCAUAUCAUUUAGAGGAAGGUGAAGUCGUAACA